UACGGAGGGUGCAAGCGUUAUCCGGAUUCACUGGGUUUAAAGGGUGCGUAGGCGGACAGGUAAGUCAGUGGUGAAAUCUCUGGGCUUAACUCAGAAACUGCCGUUGAUACUAUUUGUCUUGAAUAUCUUGGAGGUAAGCGGAAUAUGUCAUGUAGCGGAUGAAAUGCUUAGAUAUGACAUAGAAACACCAAAUUGCGAAGGCAGCUCACUAACUCAAUCAUUGACUCUGAGGCACGAAAGCGUGGGGAUCAAACAGG
rnacentral:rRNA from 1 species